rnacentral:rRNA from 1 species
CCUACGGGUGGCUGCAGUGGGGAAUAUUGGACAAUGGGGGAAACCCUGACCCAGCGACGCCGCGUGAAGGAAGAAGGAUUUCGGUAUGUAAACUUCUAUCAGCAGGGAAGAAAAUGAUGGUACCUGACUAAGAAGCACCGACUAACUACGUGCCAGCAGCCGCGGUAAUACGUAGGGGGCAAGCGUUAUUCGGAUUUACUGGGUGUAAAGGGAGCGUAGGCGGGAGAGCAAGUCAGAAGUGAAAGCCCGGGGCUCAACUCCGGGACUGCUUUUGAAACUGUUGAACUAGAGUGCAGGAGAGGUAAGUGGAAGUCCUAGUGUAGCGGUGAAAUGCGUAGAUAUUAGGAGGAACACCAGUGGCGAAGGCGGCUUACUGGACUGUAAAUGACGCUGAGGCGCGAAAGCGUGGGGAGCAAACAGGAUUAGAUACCCGAGUAGUC